rnacentral:rRNA from 1 species
UAAGGAAUAUUGCUCAAUGGGAGAAAUCCUGAAGCAGCAACGCCGCGUGGAGGAUGAAGGGUCUAUGACUUGUAAACUCCUGUAAAGAAGGAAAAAAUUCCCAUUAGAUGGGAGAUGAUGGUACUUCUGGAGUAAGCCCCGGCUAACUACGUGCCAGCAGCCGCGGUAAUACGUAGGGGGCAAGCGUUGUCCGGAUUUACUGGGUGUAAAGGGUGCUCAGGCGGAUUUGUAAGUCAGAGGUGAAAUCUUACAGCUUAACUGUGAAACUGCCUUUGAUACUGCAAGCCUAGAGUAUGGAAGAGAGUGAUGGAAUAUCUGGUGUAGCAGUGAAAUGCGUAGAUAUCAGAUAGAACACCAAUGGCGAAGGCAGUCACUUGGUCCAUUACUGACGCUAAAGCACGAAAGCGUGGGUA